AGCUGCCUUGGAUCCUAAUUUUGCCUGGCGUGCUUCUCAUUUAUAACCAAACUUUCGGGAGAGAAUUUUCCCCGGGGGAAGUAGAGAGCUCUCUCCCUUUGAAGAACACUCCCUUAAGCAUCUUAUACUUUAUUUUCUUUUUAUUGGUACAAACUAAUGAUCAUAUUAUUUUAAUGUGAAUAUAGUCUAAAAAAUUAAAAUACAAAAUAUCACGCAAGACUUCUGGACAGUCGUCAUCUUGAUGCCAGAUCUAGUCUCUAGUAUGGUCGACGAUAAAGAAAACAAUCCAACCUGUGAUGCUAUUCGCC
rnacentral:lncRNA from 1 species